rnacentral:rRNA from 1 species
GUGGGGAAUCUUGCGCAAUGGGGGAAACCCUGACGCAGCGACGCCGCGUGAAUGAUGAAGGCCUUCGGGUUGUAAAGUUCUGUUUUGGGAGACGAAACCUUAAGGGUCCAACACACCCUUAAAUUGACGGUAUCUCAAGAGAAAGCUCCGGCUAAUUAUGUGCCAGCAGCCGCGGUAAUACAUAAGGAGCAAGCGUUGUCCGGAAUUAUUGGGCGUAAAGAGCUCGUAGGCGGUCUUAAAAGUCAGGUGUGAAAUUAUCAGGCUUAACCUGAUACGGUCAUCUGAAACUUUAGGACUUGAGGAUAGAAGAGGAAAGUGGAAUUUCCGGUGUAGCGGUGAAAUGCGUAGAUAUCGGAAGGAACACCAGUGGCGAAGGCGGCUUUCUGGUCUAUUUCUGACGCUGAUGAACGAAAGCUAGGGGAGCAAACAGGAUUAGAAACCCCAGUAGUCC